rnacentral:lncRNA from 1 species
ACUUAACUGAUGGUGGGCCUGCGGGGAGUGGGCUAGGGGCGGGGAGGUGGGGUGGGGGGCUUUUGCAUUUGGGGUUUUACCUUGCUGUUCUUUAAUUGCUCGGAGGGUCAGAAGCAGAGCUCCAAGGCCUCUGAACCUGGCAACAGAUUCAGGAGGACAGGGUCUCUCGUCCGAAGCUGAGAACAGAGGCAGCGAGACAUCAAAGAACCAGGAUCUCUGUAUAGACAAAGGCCGGUUGGCUUGAUGUGAGAGGUCACGGUGAAGCUGCAAACACCAGCAGAGGUGACCUCCGAGUGGAAGCAGAGGGCUUUGACCCUCGGCAGUGCGGGGGCCGCUCAGAGCUGGAGUUGGGGGAGCUUUAACUUGAUCCAAAAGGGAGGCAGACAGCUCAGCGUGUUAGCAGGAAGUGUCGGGGGCGUCAGGGGGAUGUACUUGGAGGCCUGACCUAGUCCGGGGGUCAUGAAACGGUUCGUCUAGGAAGCCAUGUUUGGCAUGAGCCGCUGAAGGAGGCGUAGGAAUUGUCUAGGCAACAGCAGGGACUGGAAAGAUACCAGGUACAGGGAACAGCAUGUAUGAACGUCUGAGACAGAGACCAGAAGGCGAGCCGAUGGGGUUGGAGCAAAUCCACUGGAAAAAGGCGCAGGAUGAGGACACGAGGAUGUCAGAGAAGUUGCUCGUGGAGGUUGCCAGGGAGGAGGACAAGAGAUGCCUGGGGUUUGGGGAACGGUAGAGACGUCUCGGCUAAGCCUUCAUCUCCAGAGGCCCCUGGGCACGCGGCUCCCAGGAAUGUGUGUGGAAGAAAGAAUCACCCUCAGAAUUAGAAAAAGAACCUGGAUCUCGUUCUCCGCUCUGCCACUUACUGGCCGUGUGACCCGACUAAGGCAGCUCUCAGACCCAAGUGUCCUCAUCUACAAAGUGGCUGUGGUGUUUGAAUGAGACGGCAUAUGGCCAAGGAUUUGUACACGAGUAUGUGAGCGAAAUCUGUGCCCAACGGAGACAAGCGUUUCUCCACUUCUCCGCCUCUCCAUAGGCUUUUGGUUUUUCCCUCUGGUUUAAGGAUAUUAAAUCACUGGCACCUUUUACGGUAAGCUGUCUUCUUUAGAAGUUGGUGACACGUGGCUACCAACUUUGUUUGAGAACCUGGUAACACGCGUUUUCCCUUGGCUGGCACCGAUGCCCCCUUCGUCUACUGUGCACCCCAAGUUGACGAUGUCCGUUUCCUUGCUAUUUUGUUCAUUACUCUCUUUUGCUAAAUGGAUGUGAUUUGCCCUUCUCUUUCCCAGCGUAGGGGAGAUGCUUAUCUCUAACUGGGUGGCUGCCUUGAACCUUCACGGAAAGUGGGACCCCCCACGUCCCAUUCCCAAGACAUCCAUUGUUAGUUCUCGCGUAGACUAUGAACACAGACACAGGCACGUAUGGUUUCGCCACCUUUUAAAUACAAAUCGACGCCAUAGUAUCUAGUACUCUGAACCUUGCUUUUUUAUUUCACAAUGUAUCUUCGAGAUCACUUUGUAUCAGUGCACAGAGAGACUCUUGACUCUCUUUCUUUGGUUGAGUAAUAGGACGUUGUGAAUUGUUAAAGGAGUUGGAGUUUUACAGGGGACUGGACAUAUUUCAAUAACGGAACCUUGAAAAAUCUACCCAAGUUGGCCUCAAGGGAGAGUAAAGGGAGAUGAUAUAUAGGCCAGCUGCAAACAAUGAUUUUGGGGGGGACGUUACGUUUACACCCCGUGAGACUUCUCCGUGGACCCCCUUCCAGCCACCGUGCAUUCUAGGGGCAGGGUGGAU